UACGUAGGGUGCAAGCGUUGUCCGGAAUUAUUGGGCGUAAAGAGCUCGUAGGCGGUCUGUCGCGUCUGCUGUGAAAACUCAGGGCUUAACCCUGAGCUUGCAGUGGGUACGGGCAGACUAGAGUGCGGUAGGGGGAGACUGGAAUUCCUGGUGUAGCGGUGGAAUGCGCAGAUAUCGGGGAGGAACACCGGUGGCGAAGGCGGUUCUCUGGGCCUUACCUGACGCUGAGGAGCGAAAGCGUGGGGAGCGAACAGG
rnacentral:rRNA from 1 species